ensembl:lncRNA
AAAAAUGGUAGUAACAGUAUAAAACAAAUAUUAAAAAAAAAAAUUAAAAAAAAAGUCUCACUCGUAAUAUUAUUAUAUUUGGCAAUUUUUUUUUCUUUCUAAUAAAAGAAACCUACUCAUUGUAGUUGGCAUAUAAAACUAUAUAUUUUUAAUAUAUAACCGUUUUUUUUUUAAUAACCAUCAUUUAUAACUGUGUUUUAUUUUUAUUUAUGAAAUAAAAAAAUAAAAAAAAAAAAAUAAAAAAAAAAAAAAAAAAAGAAAAAAAAAAGAAAAAUAUGAGAAAACUGUCAAAAACUGAUGAUGAUGAUGAUGAUGAUGAUAAUUAUACAAACGAUACAUAUUUAAUAGAUCCAGAAAAUAAGCAUCAAACAAAUGGUCUACCAGUAUAUGGUCUACCAGUAUAUGGUCUACCAGUAAAUGGUCUACCAGUAAAUGGUCUACCAGUAAAUGGUCUACCAGUAAAUGGUCUACCAGUAAAUACUAAUGUAGUUUAUACUACUCCUAAUUUAAUAUAUGAACAAAAAGUUGUUUGUAAUAAUAAUGAACUAAAUAAUCAAAUAACCUCAUUGGAUCCUAAUUAUGUGAAUGCAGCAGAACCUAUCGUAUUAAAAAACGAACAAGUGUUACCACAAUUAUAUAUAAGACAACCACCAACAGUUAUAGUAACAAAUGAGCCAAGACCCCCUUUAGUUAUUAAUCCACCUCCAGCUAAUGUUAUUUUAAAAAAUAAAGCUCCUCAACCUAUAUAUGUAAAUAGUACAAGACCAAAUAUAAUUAUAAAAAACGACCCACCUGUUAUACAAAAUCCGAUUAAUAUGGAUACAACACCUAUUCAAGUGGAUACACCAAUAAUGCAUAAUACUGAUACUAUAUCUACUGCUACUAUUCCUAUAACUACAGUAAAUGACACUAUUCAUUACCCUACUUCAGUAGGAAUUAAACAAUAUAACAUAUCAAAUAACAUGUCAAAUAACAUGUCAAAUAACAUGUCAAAUAACAUGNNNNNNNNNNCAAAUAACAUGUCAAAUAACAUGUCAAAUAACAUGUCAAAUAACAUGCCAAAUAAAAUACCAAAUAAUAAUAUUUGCUAUUAUUAUCAAAAAGAUUUACAAGUUGAUAAAAAUUCACAACCAUUCAAUAUUAUACAAACAGAUGGUAAUAAUAAUAUAAAUAUGAAAGAAAUGUUUGUAAAUAAUAACCCCAAUGUUAUUAUGAUUGAUGGCCAAAAUCAAAAUACUAAUUUAUAUCAACAACAGACAUCAGUACCUUUAGUUUUGUCAAAUAAUAAUGUUUUACAUACACAAGGAUCUAUAAAUAAUGCAAUUGCUUCUUUUGAUACACAAGGAUAUAAUUAUAUACAACAAAAUAAUCCUUAUCCAUAUACACAAUAUAUUUCUAUCCCUGACAAUAAUCCACAUAUAUUGAAUCAACAAGUUAUAGCAGAACCAGCAGUGAUAAAUCCUGUAUAUAAUUUUAUGCAUUCAUCUCCAUCCCAAGUUAUACAUCAACAAUCAGCUCCGAACAUAUUACAAUAUCAACAACCAACUCCGAACAUAAUUUAUCAACAACCGGAAACUCAAGUUAUACAAAAAGGUUUAGAAACCCAAGUAGAUAAUAAACAUGGGAUACAACGAAACCUUUCUAACUCCUUUGAAUAUAGAGCAUGUAGAAAACCUUUCAAUUGUAAUAUAACACCAGAAUCGUAUAACUCAUAUUCUCCAUUAAAAAAUGUUAUGUAUUCAAAAGGCGAUAGGUCGUCACCUAGACCUAAAAAGGUUCAAAUAUUUGCACGUCCAAUGUAUAAUGGAAAUGCUAAAGGUUAUAACUUAAGUAUAGGAGGGAGAAGUGGGGGUUUCUUUAAUGUCUUUUAACUUCGAUAAUAUAUAUGUCAAAAAAAAUCAGCAGACAAUAAAAAAUUUAUUAAAUUCUUUUUAACA